UCCCUCUCAUGUUUUUCUCUCACUCUCUCCUCUAAUGUGUUGGCCAACACACACUCUGUCUGUCUGUCUCUCACUCUCUGUCCUUGCCUCUUCUUGUGCUGUCUUCCUUUGUAGGACACGGGCAGGUGUGUUAGGUGUGCAUCCCCACAGGCUAGGUCUUGUGAGCUAUGAACAAGUAGGGGACCGAAAUGAUGCAGGGCAGUGGGUGCUAGAGUGAAGCGGUGACUUGGGUGUUGACUGAGUCUCUGCUCUAGUGGGGCUGAUGUGGGAGGCAGGGAUGAGGGCAAGAUUUCACACACCAACUGAAUUUUUUGUAGUGAGGGCUCUUGGUUGGCUUAUUUGCUGCACUUGUAGAGGAAUUAUCCAGGAGCAGCAGCCGGAGGAGAAAUUGGCAGACGUGGGCCUGAGGAGCCUGGACAUUCUUCUAAGGAGACAUGAACAGUCCUCAGCUUUCUGCCUCGUGCAUAGCUGGCUGUGGGUAAGUGGUCAGUGCUUGGAAUUCCUCAUCUGUACUUGCUGUGAUUUUCUUCACACUUCGUUUGCUUCCUUGUUGGGUGUGGGGCUCUUUGGGAUUAAGGCUGGGGAAGGGACCAGAGUCACAAUUGCUAACUUUCACUGGGGAAAUAAGCACCCCGACUUUGACAAUAAGCCAAAAAUCAAGAUUAACCCAUUUGAAAACAAGGCCAAAACAAGCCAAUCCCUAAGAACCCCAACACUCAAUGACUAGAUCUCCCCUGGCGUGCAGUCUGGGACUGUGGUGGGCCCGCUGUGCACCUCAACUAGCCGUCCCCUUUGCUCCUCCUUGUCUGUGCUUGCUGGAAGCAAAAAGCUACAAGAAGCAAUAAGUUACAAUCCAAAAAGAAGUACAAUUUCUACGUGCUUUCCCCACAGGUUUGGUGUGUCUGACCAGAGUCAUCUGUGCAGAGUGACUAUUUCAGGUGUCGUCGCAAGGGUACCAAGGGAAAAGAAGUGACAAGUCAGAGUCUACUGCCCUCAUGCGAUGGAAAGCGAGCGAGAGUGAUGGGACUGCGAGAAUUAUUGAUGCCUUGAAAAAGCCGUCCAACUGGGAAUGGAAUAGUCAUCACUGUCAAUGAGAUAAGUGUCUGUUUUGGUGAUUGCUCUGCUCACGGCCCACCUUGCUCCUGAAAGGGAUGCCCCGUUUGCUGAGGCAGUGUUUGUAAGAAAAGGUUCCUGACUAGCUGUGGUUUUGAGAGAGAAAGAAGAUCCCCAUUUUUAGGGGCUGCUCAGUUUUCUGGCCAGUGUGUCCUACGCAGCAGAAGGUUGCAUCUAGGAGAAUGAGUCCAGGUGGUGAAUUGCUUGCCUUUCUCUCGUGUUUCUCUCUCUCUCUCUUCUCUAGUGUGUUGGCCAACACUCUUUCUCAAUCUGUCCUUGCUUUUCCUUGUGCUGUCUCUCUUCUUAGGAUAUCGGCAGCCGAGCUAGGUGUGCACCCCCACAGGUUGUGUUUUGGGAGCCGUAAAGAAGUAGGAGGGGACGAAAAUCAUGCAGGGCAGUCAGUGCGAGACUGGAGCGGUGACUGUUGGUGUUGUGGGGCUAAGACAGAUCCAAAGCGACGCAGGGAAGAGGGCCUUAAUUGGGCUCUAUGUAGUGCAGGAGUUCUCAAACUGGGGUUUAGGUCCCGUCAGGGGGCCGCAAGCUUGUUAUUUGGGGGUUUGUGAAAUGUCAUCCUCCAUCCUAAACAUCACUUUGCUUCCAGCAUUUAUAAUGGUGUUGAAUAUACAAAAAGUGUUUUUAAUUUAUAAGAGGUGGGUCACACUCAGAAGCUUUCUAUGUAAAAGGGAUCAUCAGUACAAAAGGUUGAGAACCACUGGUGUAGUGAUAGUUCUUGCUUGCCUUUAUUAGCUUGCAGAGGAAUUGUCCAGGAGUCUCAGCUGGAGAAGAAGCUGGCAGAAGUGGACCUGAACUGCCUGGACAUCCUUCUAAGGAGACAUGAACAGUCCUCAGCUUUCUGCAUUCUGGAUAACUGGCUAUGAGUAAGAACAGUCACACAUCAGAGUCUACUGCCCUCAUGCGAUGGAAAGUGAGUGAGAGCAGCGAGCCUGUGAGCAUUGUUCAUGCCAGGCAACAGCCGUCAAUGUGGGGGUCGAGCAGACGCCACUUUUGCAGAGGAAUCGUCCAGGAGCCCCAGCCGGAUGAGAAUGUCAGAAGUGGACCUGAGUAGUCUGGACAUCCUUCUAAGGAAACAAGAAUAGAACCAAGCAAAAAGACGUCACAUGUCAAAGUCUACUGCCCUUAUGAAUGAGAGUGACGAGACUGCGAGCGUUGUUGGUGCCAGGCAGGAGCUGUCCAUCUGGGAGCAGAACUGCUGCUACUAUCACUGAGAUAAGUAUCUGUUUUGCUGAGGGUUCUGCUCAUGGCCCACCUGGCUACAGGUAGAGACACCCCGUUAGGUGGGGCUGGGUUUGUAAGAAAAGGUUCCUGACUAGCUGUGGUUUUGAAGGAGACACGGUCCCCAUUUUCAGGGGCUCAUGAUUUCUCUGGCCAGGAUCGGUGUGUCCUCGGCAGGAGAAGGUUAGAUCCAUGAGGAUGACUCCAGGUG